rnacentral:lncRNA from 1 species
GUUAUCUGCCGACAGCGUAAUGCGAGGCAAGUGCCAGCCGUUCCGCCCGGCAUACAAGCUUAUGGAGCAGCCCCCUUUGAAGAUCUCCAGGUAGACUUCACAGAGAUGCCAAAGUGUGGAGAUCUGAUUCCUAGAUUGGGACUGCCCUUACGGAUCAGCUCAGAUAACGGGCCUGCGUUUGUGGCUGACAGUACAGAAGAUGGCAAAGGUAUCGGGGAUCACAUGGAAACCGCAUGCCGCCUCCUGGUCUCAGAGUUCCGGAAAGGUGGGGCGGAUAAAUCGGACUAUCCAAAAUGGUAUUACUGUCUUCCCCGCUGGAUAUUAAAAACAAUUCCACAAGGGGCGUCAAACCACCUGCCAAAUUUGAGGGAAUGUUAUCCUCUCCCCCGCCCCCCGUCCCCAGAUAUUAGAGACAAUAACACAGGGGUAAUGUAUACCCACUGCUUUAUUGGGAGUAAUAUCAUCCUCUCCCUUCUUGGAUAUUAGGAACAAUAUCACAGUGUGCGUGUACGCCUGUCGCGAAAUUCAAUGUAAUGUCA